CGCUCCGCUCCGCGGCCCGGCCUGGCACCGGGAGCGGUCUUACGACUCAGCAGCAGUUCUCCUGCAGGAGCUGGCAGCACGUGGCUUGGUCAGGUGUGCUCUUGGUUAGCACUGGGCCAUUAUUCCUGGAUACCUGCUGUCCUGGGAUAGAGAAUCACAGAAUCACAGAAUCAUUUGAGUUGGAAUGGAC